CCUACGGGCGACAGCAGUAGGGAAUCUUUCACAAUGGGCGAAAGCCUGAUGGAGCAACGCCGCGUGCAGGAUGAAGGCCUUCGGGUUGUAAACUGCUUUUAUAAGCGAGAAAUAUGAUGGUAACUUAUGAAUAAGGAUCGGCUAACUACGUGCCAGCGGCCGCGGUCAUACGUAGGAUCCGAGCAUUAUCCGGAGUGACUGGGUGUAAAGAGUUGCGUAGGUGGCAUAAUAAGUAGCUAGUGAAAUCUGGUGGCUCAACCAUUCAGACUAUUAGCUAAACUGUUAAGCUCGAGACCGUUAGGGGUAACUGGAAUUUCUAGUGUAGGAGUGAAAUCCGUAGAUAUUAGAAGGAACACCAAUAGCGUAGGCAGGUUGCUGGGACGGUUCUGACACUAAGGCACGAAAGCGUAGGGAGCAAACGGGAUUAGAUACCCCAGUAGUC
rnacentral:rRNA from 1 species